rnacentral:rRNA from 1 species
UGGUCAAGUUAUUAAGGGUGCAGGGCGGAUGCCUUGGCACUAGGAGCCGAUGAAGGACGUGAUAAGCUGCGAUAAGCUUCGGGGAGUUGCACGUAAACUUUGAUCCGAAGAUUUCCGAAUGAGGAAACUCACUUAGAGUAAUGUCUAAGUAUCAUUAAGUGAAUACAUAGCUUAAUGAGGGGAACUCAGGGAACUGAAACAUCUAAGUACCUGAAGGAAGAGAAAGAAAUUCGAUUCCGUAAGUAGCGGCGAGCGAACGCGGAUUAGCCCAAACCAAUAAAGUUUUCUUUAUUGGGGUUGCGGACAUAUCAUAACGAAGAGGUAUCGUAAUUGAAGAGGUUUGGAAAGACCCACCACAGAAGGUAAUAGUCCUGUAUGUUAAACGAGAAGACUUUAGAUAUGAUCCAGAGUACCACGGGACACGUGAAACCCUGUGGGAAGCAGGAGGGACCACCCUCCAAGGCUAAAUACUACCUAGUGACCGAUAGCGUAUAGUACCGUGAGGGAAAGGUGAAAAGAACCCCGGGAGGGGAGUGAAAUAGAACCUGAAACCCUGCACUUACAAGCUGUGGAAGCACAUUUCUUGUGUGACCGCGUACUUUUUGUAGAACGGGCCAACGAGUUACGUUAAGUAGCAAGGUUAAGCACUUAAGGUGCGGAGCCGUAGCGAAAGCGAGUUUUAACUGAGCGUUCAGUUACUUGACGUAGACCCGAAACCGGGCGACCUACCCAUGAGCAGGAUGAAGCGAAAGUAAAAUUUCGUGGAGGUCCGAACCCACGAGCGUUGAAAAGCUCGGGGAUGACUUGUGGGUAGCGGUGAAAUUCCAAUCGAGCCCGGAGAUAGCUGGUUCUCCCCGAAAUAGCUUUAGGGCUAGCCUCAAGGUGAGAGAUACGGAGGUAGAGCACUGAAUGUCCUAGGGGGUAUUGCACCUACCGAAGACUAUCAAACUCCGAAUGCCGUCAUCUUAUACUUGGGAGUCAGACUGUGGGUGAUAAGAUUCAUAGUCGAAAGGGCAACAGCCCAGAUCGUCAGCUAAGGUCCCUAAAUGUAAGUUAAGUGGUAAAGGAUGUGGGAUUGCACAGACAACCAGGAUGUUGGCUUAGAAGCAGCCACUCAUUCAAAGAGUGCGUAAUAGCUCACUGGUCGAGUGAUCCUGCGCCGAAGAUUUCCGGGGCUAAAACUUACUACCGAAGCUACGGCAUCAGUAAUGAUGGGUAGGGGAGCUUCCCAUACGGGUUGAAGCAUGACCGUAAGGACAUGUGGACAGUAUGGGAGUGAGAAUGUUGGCAUGAGUAGCGAGAUGUGGGUGAGAAUCCCACAGGCCGUAAACCCAAGGUUUCCAGGGGAAGGUUCGUCC